rnacentral:rRNA from 1 species
CCGCGUGCAGGAUGACGGCCUUCGGGUUGUAAACUGCUUUUAUAUAGGAAGAUAAUGACGGUACUAUAUGAAUAAGGACCGGCUAACUACGUGC